rnacentral:rRNA from 1 species
GACGAACGCUGGCGGCGUGCCUAAUACAUGCAAGUCGAGCGAAGUUUUUCUGGUGCUUGCACUAGAAAAACUUAGCGGCGAACGGGUGAGUAACACGUAAAGAACCUGCCUCAUAGACUGGGACAACUAUUGGAAACGAUAGCUAAUACCGGAUAACAGCAUUAACUGCAUGGUUGAUGUUUAAAAGUUGGUUUUGCUAACACUAUGAGAUGGCUUUGCGGUGCAUUAGCUAGUUGGUGGGGUAAAGGCCUACCAGGGCGACGAUGCAUAGCCGACCUGAGAGGGUGAUCGGCCACACUGGGACUGAGACACGGCCCAGACUCCUACGGGAGGCAGCAGUAGGGAAUCUUCCGCAAUGGGCGAAAGCCUGACGGAGCAACGCCGCGUGAGUGAAGAAGGAUUUCGGUUCGUAAAGCUCUGUUGUUAGGGAAGAAUGAUUGUGUAGUAACUAUACACAGUAGAGACGGUACCUAACCAGAAAGCCACGGCUAACUACGUG